GGGCCGCAGGUUUUGUUUCUCUGCUGGACUAUGGAGGGGUUUGUGUCUGUCUCAUUUCUUUAUGCCUUGAGGAAGCAGCUAAGAGAUAUGUUGGUCACAGCACUAAACACACACACACACCUUCAGCUCAGGAGAGAUUCCUUUGCUCAGGUGCGCACUGAGCCCUGAGCCACGUGUGUGUGGGGCAAACUUUGCACUUCACCAGGUAAACUCGAGGAGCGGCUGGCUUGACCGCAGUUGCAGAGCCGAAGUGAAGUGUCGGGAAAGGAAAAGACGGUUCAAACCAUCCGUGCCUUCUUUAACCCGGCUUCAGAGGAAUACCUAGAGUGUUGCUUCAUGCAGUUCACGGACACAUGGCUGAAUGACCUCACUCGUAGAUGCUGCGUGAUUGGAGGGGCAGUGUUAGACAGGUUUAUACCUGUAAACUGCCAGAUCACUUCCGCUUGUCACUCAUUUCACAGAAUGGGGCCCCUCGUACUUCUCUUCUUUUCUCUGCUGCAUUUAUGUGCGACACAAGUGACUCCUGUGUUUGUGCAGACAGGAACAGAUUUACUUCUGGAAGUGAAGGAACCUGUUGUUCUGAAGGAGGCAGAUUUCUUUACAUGGAAUGUCAAUGGCAGUGUUAAUGUUGUGAGACUAGCUCAUGGUGGUAAACCAAUCAUUUCCCAAAAUUAUACAUCAAGAGCAGAAUUUUUCUGCACAAACUCACUCUCUACUGUUAAAGAACGUACAAAAGAGGGACAGUGGAGUUUACAGAGCACGUGUUUCUGGUGACAUAGACAUCACUGUAGCUGAAUACAGCAUCACAGUUCUGGAUCCAGUGUCUGGAGUGAAGCUGACAGUGAAACUCUGCA